rnacentral:rRNA from 1 species
GAUGAACGCUGGCGGCGUGCUUAACACAUGCAAGUCGAACGGAAAGGCCAGUGCUUGCACUGGUACUCGAGUGGCGAACGGGUGAGUAACACGUGGGUGAUCUGCCCUGCACUUCGGGAUAAGCCUGGGAAACUGGGUCUAAUACCGGAUAGGACAAUGGUUUGGAUGCCGUUGUGGAAAGUUUUUUCGGUGUGGGAUGAGCUCGCGGCCUAUCAGCUUGUUGGUGGGGUAAUGGCCCACCAAGGCGUCGACGGGUAGCCGGCCUGAGAGGGUGUACGGCCACAUUGGGACUGAGAUGCGGCCCAGACUCCUACGGGAGGCAGCAGUGGGGAAUAUUGCACAAUGGGCGCAAGCCUGAUGCAGCGACGCCGCGUGGGGGAUGACGGCCUUCGGGUUGUAAACUCCUUUCGCUAGGGACGAAGCGUAUUUGUGACGGUACCUGGAGAAGAAGCACCGGCUAACUACGUG